GAUGAACGCUGGCGGCGUGCCUAAUACAUGCAAGUCGAGCGAACAGACGAGGAGCUUGCUCCUCUGACGUUAGCGGCGGACGGGUGAGUAACACGUGGAUAACCUACCUAUAAGACUGGGAUAACUUCGGGAAACCGGAGCUAAUACCGGAUAAUAUAUUGAACCGCAUGGUUCAAUAGUGAAAGACGGUUUUGCUGUCACUUAUAGAUGGAUCCGCGCCGCAUUAGCUAGUUGGUAAGGUAACGGCUUACCAAGGCAACGAUGCGUAGCCGACCUGAGAGGGUGAUCGGCCACACUGGAACUGAGACACGGUCCAGACACCGACGGGAGGCAGCAGUAGGGAAUCUUCCGUAAUGGGCGAAAGCCUGACGGAGCAACGCCGCGUGAGUGAUGAAGGUCUUCGGAUCGUAAAACGCUGUUAUUAGGGAAGAACAAAUGUGUAAGUAACGAUGCACGUCUUGACGGUACCUAAGCAGAAAGCCACGGCUAACUACGU
rnacentral:rRNA from 1 species